rnacentral:rRNA from 1 species
AUUGAACGCUGGCGGCAGGCCUAACACAUGCAAGUCGAGCGGAUGAAGGGAGCUUGCUCCUGGAUUCAGCGGCGGACGGGUGAGUAAUGCCUAGGAAUCUGCCUGGUAGUGGGGGAUAACGUCCGGAAACGGGCGCUAAUACCGCAUACGUCCUGAGGGAGAAAGUGGGGGAUCUUCGGACCUCACGCUAUCAGAUGAGCCUAGGUCGGAUUAGCUAGUUGGUGGGGUAAAGGCCUACCAAGGCGACGAUCCGUAACUGGUCUGAGAGGAUGAUCAGUCACACUGGAACUGAGACACGGUCCAGACUCCUACGGGAGGCAGCAGUGGGGAAUAUUGGACAAUGGGCGAAAGCCCGAUCCAGCCAUGCCGCGUGUGUGAAGAAGGUCUUCGGAUUGUAAAGCACUUUUAGUUGGGAGGAAGGGCAGUAAGUUAAUACCUUGCUGUUUUGACGUUACCAACAGAAUAAGCACCGGCUAACUUCGUG